AGUUUCCUGACCUCAAGCUUGCUGAAUGGUUAUAUAAGAGCACUCCCUCUUCCGUCCUCUUCUAGCUAUAUUUGCAGAGCCCAGUGAACCAGCAGAUUACCAUCCGCCACCCGACAAUGUCCUUCUCUGGGGAUCUUUGUGGCUACAAUUAGAUCCUGACCGGAGCAAGCAAUGCCUCCCUUCUUUCAAUCAAUCCUCUUGUGCUACAACCAUUCCAACCUCACGCCCGUGAAAAAACAAUGCCACUGUAAGACGGACUUAGAGAUUCUCGUCCCUGAGUCCCCACCCUAUGACAUUGCAGACUGCCACUCAUGCCACCUGCCUCCUUACUACUGCCACCUGCAUCCCGAACCACCUAUCGUGUUUGCCACUUUUGCCACAGACAUCUUCGAGGUAUAAAUGUGCCACGCCGGUGGCCAUUUGUCAGUAGGCUUAUUUUUGGUCAGGCCCACCGGAUAGAAGUGGGCCCCGACAAGGAGCUCGUUGCAGACGUGGGGAACAGAGAAUCGUGUGGUGCUAAAUUUAGGGCAGAGAAACUUACUGGUGCCUGUUCUUAAGGACUGGGAACAGUGGCCAUCGUACAUUUUGUAUAUUAAUGUAGUCGUGGUUGAGAAAAUAAUAAUAAUAAUAAUAAUAAUGGAUGGUGUGAA